AUCACACAGUCCCUGGCUUAACUGACUUCCACCUAUUAAAUGACCCGAGAUACUUCCAAACUGGGGGACCAAAAGAGGAUGUAGAGAAAUAUUAAAAGAAAACCAAAAAGAGCAAGGCUAGCCUGUCACAGAUAUUGAUUGUUCCAGUGUGACCAGCCUGGAAACAGGAGGAAAGCUAUUUGCAAGCAUGAAAUACCUGGAGGCAACUGCGAUGUCUGUGGACUGUCUUGGGCAGCAUGCGGUGCUUUCUGGCCGCAGAUUCUUGUACAUCGUCAAUCUAGAUGCCCCUUUUGAAGGUCACCGAAAGAUCUCUCGCCAGAGCAAAUGGGACAUUGGAGCUGUGCAGUGGAAUCCUCAUGACAGCUUUGCACACUAUUUUGCAGCUUCGAGUAACCAACGAGUAGACCUUUACAAGUGGAAAGACGGCAGUGGGGAAGUUGGCACAACCUUACAAGGCCACACUCGUGUCAUCAGGAACUUUGGAGAUUCUCAGCCUAAACCACAUUAAGAAGCCCAUUAACAAUGACAUUCUGAAGCCACUGGAGACUCGAUGUGCUAGUGCUUUGGACC
rnacentral:sRNA from 1 species